AAAUUGAAGAGUUUGAUCAUGGCUCAGAUUGAACGCUGGCGGCAGGCCUAACACAUGCAAGUCGAACGGUAACAGAAAGCAGCUUGCUGCUUUGCUGACGAGUGGCGGACGGGUGAGUAAUGUCUGGGAAGCUGCCUGAUGGAGGGGGAUAACUACUGGAAACGGUAGCUAAUACCGCAUAAUGUCGCAAGACCAAAGAGGGGGACCUUCGGGCCUCUUGCCAUCGGAUGUGCCCAGAUGGGAUUAGCUUGUUGGUGGGGUA
rnacentral:rRNA from 1 species